rnacentral:rRNA from 1 species
GGAGUUUGGUCCGUGUCUCAGUACCAAUGUGGGGGACCUUCCUCUCAGAACCCCUACUGAUCGUCGGCUAGGUGGGCCGUUACCCCGCCUACUAGCUAAUGCGCCGCAUGCCCAUCCCCUUCCGGCUCGCCUUUCCAGGCCCGGCCAUGCGGCUGGGCCGACUAUGGGAUAUUAGGCCACAUUUCUAUGGGUUAUCUCCCAGAAGGGGGCAGGUUGCAUACGUGUUACUCACCAGUGCGCCGGUCGCCGACAGCAAGUGUUGCCACUCGCCCGCUGCCCCUCGACUUGCAUGUGUUAAGCCUGUCGCUAGCGUUCAUC